rnacentral:misc_RNA from 1 species
AACGCACAUUGCGCCCUUUGGUAUUCCGGAGGGCAUGCCUGUUUGAGAACCCUGACGUACCUCGCAAACCCCCCCUUCCUCUGGGAAGGUGUUGGUAGUUUUGCGGAUUUGGGCCGCUUCCUCAACCCUCUCUGCAGGGAUGGGGUGGCCAGAAAUCGAAGAUCGGCCUAUCGGCGGGAGUUUGAGCACUUCCACCUCUGUCCAUAAACAAGACGUGUUAGUAUGGGAAACCAUUCUGCGUCGAUGACCUUGGAACGUGGAGAAUUUUGUGCUUGCUCGCCAGCUGGACGACUCAGCCAACCAGUCAGGCGCCCUUUUUCCCCUUGCCGGGUGAAGAGCGUAGACCUGAACAACAACCGGUCUCAAAUCAGGCAAGACCACCCGCUGAACUUAA